rnacentral:rRNA from 1 species
AUACGUAGGGCGCAAGCGUUAUCCGGAAUUAUUGGGCGUAAAGAGCUCGUAGGCGGUUUGUCGCGUCUGCUGUGAAAGACCGGGGCUCAACUCCGGUUCUGCAGUGGGUACGGGCAGACUAGAGUGAUGUAGGGGAGACUGGAAUUCCUGGUGUAGCGGUGAAAUGCGCAGAUAUCAGGAGGAACACCGAUGGCGAAGGCAGGUCUCUGGGCAUUAACUGACGCUGAGGAGCGAAAGCAUGGGGAGCGAACAG